UUUCACUGAAACAAGGGGAAACCCUUGGCAGCAGUAAUGAAUUUUAUGUAAUAUACGAAAGUAAGACAUAGGUAGAAUAAAAAAAAUCUGUCAAAUUAAGUGCCAGCAGACGCGGUAACACUUAAGGAUUUAUUUUUUAAUAAAAAGCAAAAAGCGUGUUAAGGAUUUUAAAAAAAAAAAAUAAAUAGAAUUUUUAUUUCGUAAUUGUGGAAUGUUAAAAUGAAAAAAAGAAUUUUUUAUAUGAAAAUAAUUUAUUUUUUUUUCUUAAACACGAAGGUUUUGGGAGCAAACAGGAUUAGAGACCCUGGUAGUCUAUACAGUAAAAGAAUAUCGCUUGAGUAGUACGGUCGCAAGAUUAAAAUUCAAAAAACUUGGCUGUUCAUUGUUAAUUAGAGGAGCGUGUCGCUUAAUUCGAUGAUCCGCGAGAGACCUUACCGAAGUUUGAACUUAUAAACAGGUGUUGCAUGGCCGUCGUCAAUUUCUGUUUGAGACAAAAAGCGGUUUAAUCCUAUCAAGGUCGAAGUCAGGUAUUAUGACCCUUAUAUUUCGGGGUUAGAUGCGCUACAUUUCUCUCCUAGAAAAAGAGGGGUUCGGAUUGUUUUUAAAAUAAGACGAUGAAGUUGGAUUUAAAAGUAAUUGAAAAGUAGUGCGUUUCAAUGAAUUUUAUGGCAAUGUUAGUACAAAUCGCCCGUCGCCAGCCGAGAAAUGGGCUGUAAGUCGUAACA
rnacentral:rRNA from 1 species